GAUACACUUCCAAAAAAUUGACUAUUCCGAGUUAAUCAAUAUCUCUAAUAGUGACGAUUGCUUAUAAAAGAGGGGACAUAUUUUAGAACACUUGGUGAUAUACAAACCAUACCAGGCAAAUGUGUGAAAUUAUUAUUAAGAGUGAACCAUCUAACAUCCCCCUUGAGCAAAUUCGGCGGAUUUUGGAGGACAAGUAUGCAGUGGAAUUUUGGGCUGUAAGUGUCGGCUUGACAUUGACAGCUUGCCUAAUUGAGUGCCACGUGUUUUGGGAAGAAAAGUUUUCAAGCCAAAGGUCCAAGGAGAUUAAUCAAAGUCAAGGAAAGAAGAAGGUAGGUGAG